CCUACGGGGUGCAGCAGUAGGGAAUCUUCCGCAAUGGACGAAAGUCUUACGGAGCAACGCCGCGUGAGUGAUGAAGGUUUUCGGAUCGUAAAGCUCUGUUGUUAGGGAAGAACAAGUGCAAGAGUAACUGCUUGCACCUUGACGGUACCUAACCAGAAAGCCACGGCUAACUACGUGCCAGCAGCCGCGGUAAUACGUAGGUGGCAAGCGUUGUCCGGAAUUAUUGGGCGUAAAGGGCUCGCAGGCGGUUUCUUAAGUCUGAUGUGAAAGCCCCCGGCUCAACCGGGGAGGGUCAUUGGAAACUGGGAAACUUGAGUGCAGAAGAGGAGAGUGGAAUUCCACGUGUAGCGGUGAAAUGCGUAGAGAUGUGGAGGAACACCAGUGGCGAAGGCGACUCUCCGGUCUGUAACUGACGCUGAGGAGCGAAAGCGUGGGGAGCAAACAGGAUUAGAUACCCCUGUAGUC
rnacentral:rRNA from 1 species